rnacentral:rRNA from 1 species
AGCGAACGCUGGCGGCAGGCCUAACACAUGCAAGUCGAACGAAGUCUUCGGACUUAGUGGCGGACGGGUGAGUAACACGUGGGAACGUGCCUUUAGGUUCGGAAUAACUCAGGGAAACUUGUGCUAAUACCGAAUGUGCCCUUCGGGGGAAAGAUUUAUCGCCUCUAGAGCGGCCCGCGUCUGAUUAGCUAGUUGGUGAGGUAAAGGCCCACCAAGGCUACGAUCAGUAGCUGGUCUGAGAGGAUGACCAGCCACAUUGGGACUGGGACACGGCCCAAACUCCUACGGGAGGCAGCAGUGGGGAAUCUUGCGCAAUGGGCGAAAGCCUGACGCAGCCAUGCCGCGUGGAUGAUGAAGGUCUUAGGAUUGUAAAAUCCUUUCACCGGUGAAGAUAAUGACUGUAGCCGGAGAAGAAGCCCCGGCUAACUUCGUGCCAGCCGCCGCGGUAACAC